UGAGGAAUAUUGGUCAAUGGACGAGAGUCUGAACCAGCCAAGUAGCGUGAAGGAUGACUGCCCUAUGGGUUGUAAACUUCUUUUAUAUGGGAAUAAAGUGGUCCACGUGUGGAUUUUUGUAUGUACCAUAUGAAUAAGGAUCGGCUAACUCCGUGCCAGCAGCCGCGGUAAUACGGAGGAUCCGAGCGUUAUCCGGAUUUAUUGGGUUUAAAGGGAGCGUAGGUGGACAGUUAAGUCAGUUGUGAAAGUUUGCGGCUCAACCGUAAAAUUGCAGUUGAUACUGGCUGUCUUGAGUACAGUAGAGGUGGGCGGAAUUCGUGGUGUAGCGGUGAAAUGCUUAGAUAUCACGAAGAACUCCGAUUGCGAAGGCAGCUCACUGGACUGCAACUGACACUGAUGCUCGAAAGUGUGGGUAUCAAACAGGAUUAGAUACCCUGGUAGUCCACACAGUAAACGAUGAAUACUCGCUGUUUGCGAUAUACAGUAAGCGGCCAAGCGAAAGCAUUAAGUAUUCCACCUGGGGAGUACGCCGGCAACGGUGAAACUCAAAGGAAUUGACGGGGGCCCGCACAAGCGGAGGAACAUGUGGUUUAAUUCGAUGAUACGCGAGGAACCUUACCCGGGCUUAAAUUGCAGAUGAAUUACGGUGAAAGCCGUAAGCCGCAAGGCAUCUGUGAAGGUGCUGCAUGGUUGUCGUCAGCUCGUGCCGUGAGGUGUCGGCUUAAGUGCCAUAACGAGCGCAACCCUUGUUGUCAGUUACUAACAGGUUCCGCUGAGGACUCUGACAAGACUGCCAUCGUAAGAUGUGAGGAAGGUGGGGAUGACGUCAAAUCAGCACGGCCCUUACGUCCGGGGCUACACACGUGUUACAAUGGGGGGUACAGAGGGCCGCUACCACGCGAGUGGAUGCCAAUCCCCAAAACCUCUCUCAGUUCGGACUGGAGUCUGCAACCCGACUCCACGAAGCUGGAUUCGCUAGUAAUCGCGCAUCAGCCACGGCGCGGUGAAUACGUUCCC
rnacentral:rRNA from 1 species